rnacentral:piRNA from 1 species
UGUCAUGAAGAUGAGGUGGACCAAGAGCUGC